rnacentral:rRNA from 1 species
UACGAAGGGGGCUAGCGUUGCUCGGAAUCACUGGGCGUAAAGGGUGCGUAGGCGGGUCUUUAAGUCAGGGGUGAAAUCCUGGAGCUCAACUCCAGAACUGCCUUUGAUACUGAAGAUCUUGAGUUCGGGAGAGGUGAGUGGAACUGCGAGUGUAGAGGUGAAAUUCGUAGAUAUUCGCAAGAACACCAGUGGCGAAGGCGGCUCACUGGCCCGAUACUGACGCCGAGGCACGAAGGCCAGGGUAGCGAAAGGG